GCCGUAGCUCAGUGGCAGAGCGCUCGCUUCCAUAGCGAGAGGUCCCGGGUUCAAUCCCCGGUGUAACCA